rnacentral:rRNA from 1 species
AGAACUUAGCAGAGAUGCUUUGGUGGCCUUCGGGAACUCUGAGACAGGUGCUGCAUGGCUGUCGUCAGCUCGUGUUGUGAAAUGUUGGGUUAAGUCCCGCAACGAGCGCAACCCUUAUCCUUUGUUGCCAGCGGUUAGGCCGGGAACUCAAAGGAGACUGCCAGUGAUAAACUGGAGGAAGGUGGGGAUGACGUCAAGUCAUCAUGGCCCUUACGAGUAGGGCUACACACGUGCUACAAUGGCGCAUACAAAGAGAAGCGACCUCGCGAGAGCAAGCGGACCUCAUAAAGUGCGUCGUAGUCCGGAUUGGAGUCUGCAACUCGACUCCAUGAAGUCGGAAUCGCUAGUAAUCGUGGAUCAGAAUGCCACGGUGAAUACGUUCCCGGGCCUUGUACACACCGCCCGUCACACCAUGGGAGUGGGUUGCAAAAGAAGUAGGUAGCUUAACCUUCGGGAGGGCGCUUACCACUUUGUGAUUCAUGACUGGGGUGAAGUCGUAACAAGGUAAGCGUAGUGCU